rnacentral:rRNA from 1 species
UACAGAGGGUGCAAACGUUGUUCGGAAUUACUGGGCGUAAAGCGCGUGCAGGCGGCCUUGCAAGUCGGAUGUGAAAUCUCCGAGCUCAACUCGGAAAUUGCAUUGGAAACUACCUUGCUUGAGGGUUGGAGGGGGGACUGGAAUGCUUGGUGUAGCAGUGAAAUGCGUAGAUAUCAAGCGGAACACCAGUGGCGAAAGCGAGUCCCUGGACAACACCUGACACUGAGGCACGAAAGCUAGGGGAGCAAACAGG